AGGUCAACUAGGAGGAGAGAGAACAUAUUAAAGGUCAACUAGGAGGAGAGAGAACAUAUUAAAGGUCAACUAGGAGGAGAGAGAACAUAUUAAAGGUCAACUAGGAGGAGAGAGAACAUAUUAAAGGUCAACUAGGAGGAGAGAGAACAUAUUAAAGGUCAACGAGGAGGAGAGAGAACAUAUUAAAGGUCAACUAGGAGGAGAGAGAACAUAUUAAAGGUCAACUAGGAGGAGAGAGGUCAACUAGGAGGAGAGAGAACAUAUUAAAGGUCAACCAGGAGGAAAGAGAACAUAUUAAAGAUCAACUAGGAGGAGGGAACAUAUUAAAGGUCAACUAGGAGGAGAGAGGUCAACUAGGAGGAGAGAGAACAUAUUAAAGGUCAACUAGGAGGAGAGAGGUCAACUAGGAGGAGAGAGAACAUAUUAAAGGUCAACUAGGAGGAGAGAGAACAUAUUAAAGGUCAACUAGGAGGAGAGAGAACAUAUUAAAGGUCAACUAGGAGGAGAGAGAACAUAUUAAAGGUCAACUAGGAGGAGAGAGAACAUAUUAAAGGUCAACUAGGAGGAGAGAGAACAUAUUAAAGGUCAACUAGGAGGAGAGAACAUAUUAAAGGUCAACUAGGAGGAGAGAGAACAUAUUAAAGGUCAACUAGGAGGAGAGAGGUCAACUAGGAGGAGAGAGAACAUAUUAAAGGUCAACUAGGAGGAGAGAGGUCAACUAGGAGGAGAGAGAACAUAUUAAAGGUCAACUAGGAGGAGAGAGUUCAACUAGGAGGAGAGAGAACAUAUUAAAGGUCAACUAGGAGGAGAGAGAACAUAUUAAAGGUCAACUAGGAGGAGAGAGGUCAACUAGGAGGAGAGAGAACAUAUUAAAGGUCAACUAGGAGGAGAGAGAACAUAUUAAAGGUCAACUAUGAGGAGAGAGAACAUAUUAAAGGUCAACUAGGAGGAGAGAGAACAUAUUAAAGGUCAACUAGGAGGAGAGAGAACAUAUUAAAGGUCAACUAGGAGGAGAGAGAACAUAUUAAAGGUCAACUAGGAGGAGAGAGGUCAACUAGGAGGAGAGAGAACAUAUUAAAGGUCAACUAGGAGGAGAGAGGUCAACUAGGAGGAGAGAGAACAUAUUAAAGGUCAACUAGGAGGAGAGAGAACAUAUUAAAGGUCAACUAGGAGGAGAGAGGUCAACUAGGAGGAGAGAGAACAUAUUAAAGGUCAACUAGGAGGAGAGAGAACAUAUUAAAGGUCAACUAGGAGGAGAGAGAACAUAUUAAAGGUCAACGAGGAGGAGAGAGAACAUAUUAAAGGUCAACUAGGAGGAGAGAGAACAUAUUAAAGGUCAACUAUGAGGAGAGAGAACAUAUUAAAGGUCAACUAGGAGGAGAGAGAACAUAUUAAAGGUCAACUAGGAGGAGAGAGAACAUAUUAAAGGUCAACUAGGAGGAGAGAGAACAUAUUAAAGGUCAACUAGGAGGAGAGAGGUCAACUAGGAGGAGAGAGAACAUAUUAAAGGUCAACUAGGAGGAGAGAGGUCAACUAGGAGGAGAGAGAACAUAUUAAAGGUCAACUAGGAGGAGAGAGAACAUAUUAAAGGUCAACUAGGAGGAGAGAGAACAUAUUAAAGGUCAACUAGGAGGAGAGAGGUCAACUAGGAGGAGAGAGAACAUAUUAAAGGUCAACUAGGAGGAGAGAGAACAUAUUAAAGGUCAACUAGGAGGAGAGAGAACAUAUUAAAGGUCAACGAGGAGGAGAGAGAACAUAUUAAAGGUCAACUAGGAGGAGAGAGGUCAACUAGGAGGAGAGAGAACAUAUUAAAGGUCAACCAGGAGGAAAGAGAACAUAUUAAAGGUCAACUAGGAGGAGAGAGAACAUAUUAAAGGUCAACUAGGAGGAGAGAGAACAUAUUAAAGGUCAACUAGGAGGAGAGAGGUCAACUAGGAGGAGAGAGAACAUAUUAAAGGUCAACUAGGAGGAGAGAGGUCAACUAGGAGGAGAGAGGACAUAUUAAAGGUCAACUAGGAGGAGAGAGAACAUAUUAAAGGUCAACUAGGAGGAGAGAGAACAUAUUAAAGGUCAACUAGGAGGAGAGAGGUCAACUAGGAGGAGAGAGAACAUAUUAAAGUUCAACUAGGAGGAGAGAGGUCAACUAGGAGGAGAGAGGACAUAUUAAAGGUCAACUAGGAGGAAAGAGAACAUAUUAAAGGUCAACUAGGAGGAGAGAGAACAUAUUAAAGGUCAACUAGGAGGAGAGGUGUAGAAUAGCUAAAUUGGAGUUCUAGCACUUGUGUCACAUGACACAGAACAGGACCUGAGGGAAACCACCUAGUUAUCACAGCAGUUCCCUACUCUUCUCUGUCUCAGGACACACAGGGACAGUUCUCUAGUCUUCUCUGUCUCAGGACACACAGGGACAGUUCUCUAGUCUUCUCUGUCUCAGGACACACAGGGACAGUUCUCUAGUCUUCUCUGUCUCAGGACACACAGGGACAGUUCUCUAGUCUUCUCUGUCUCAGGACACACAGGGACAGUUCUCUAGUCUUCUCUGUCUCAGGACACACAGGGACAGUUCUCUAGUCUUCUCUGUCUCAGGACACACAGGGACAGUUCUCUAGUCUUCUCUGUCUCAGGACACACAGGGACAGUUCUCUAGUCUUCUCUGUCUCAGGACACACAGGGACAGUUCUCUAGUCUUCUCUGUCUCAGGACACACAGGGACAGUUCUCUAGUCUUCUCUGUCUCAGGACACACAGGGACAGUUCUCUAGUCUUCUCUGUCUCAGGACAC